GACCGCGUAGCUCAGUUGGUAGAGCAUUGGGCUAGUAUUCCAAAGGUCGUAGGUUUGAUUCCCACCGUGGUCA